rnacentral:rRNA from 1 species
GAAGACCCUAUGGAGCUUUAGACAAAAAACAGCCCCUGUCAAUAAACCCUAAAUAAAGGGAAUAAACCUAGUGAACCUGUUUUAAUGUCUUUGGUUGGGGCGACCGCGGGGUAACAAAAAACCCCCAUGUGGAAUGAAAACACCCUUUUUAAACCCAAGAGUCACCACUCUAGGAUACAGAACAUCUGACCAAUAAUGAUCCGGCUAAAGCCGAUUAACGAACCGAGUUACCCUAGGGAUAACAGCGCAAUCCUCUUUUAGAGUCCAUAUCGACAAGAGGGUUUACGACCUCGAUGUUGGAUCAGGACAUCCUAAUGGUGCAGCCGCUAUUAAAGGUUCGUUUGUUCAACGAUUAAAGUCCUACGUG